AAUUCCAAUCGAACCCGGAUAUAGCUGGUUCUCCCCGAAAUAGCUUUAGGGCUAGCGUUGUAUUAGAUUACCGGAGGUAAAGCACUGAAUGGGCUAGGGGCUGAGAAGUUACUGAACCCUAUCAAACUAAGAAUGCCGGAUAAUUGAUGUACAGCAGUCAGACUAUGUGAGAUAAGUCUCAUAGUCAAAAGGGAAACAGCCCAGACCCACAGCUAAGGUCCCAAAAUGGAUUUAAGUGGAAAAGGAUGUGGAAUUGCACAGACAACCAGGAUGUUGGCUUAGAAGCAGCCACUCAUUAAAAGAGUGCGUAAUAGCUCACUGGUCGAGUGACUCUGCGCCGAAAAUUCAACGGGGCUAAAAUUCAUACCGAAGCUUGGGCUUGACAGUAAUGUCAGGGGUAGGGGAGCGUCGUAUACGAGGUGAAGUCAUAGCGGAAGCGGUGGUGGAUUGUAUACGAGUGAGAAUGCCGGAAUGAGUAGCGAGAAUUAUGUGAGAAUCAUAAUGGCCGAAAGUCUAAGGUUUCCUGAGGAAGGUUCGUCCUCUCAGGGUUAGCCGGGAGCUAAGGUGAGGCGGAAACGCGUAGCCGAUGCACAUACGGUAGAAAUUCCGUAGCCUCCGAAGAUUUAAGCACAGGGACACUUUUGAAGGGCUGAGCCGGGCGUUGGUUGCCCCGGUCGAAAGGGACACGAGUGAGUGGAAGUCAGUUUGGAAAGAGGCGAGAAAAGCUGUGUGUAUAUGGAAGGAGCCCGUACCGCAAACCGACACAGGUAGACAGGAAGAAGAUUCUAAGGCCAGCGGGAGAAGGGUUGUUAAGGAACUCGGCAAGUUGACCCCGUAACUUCGGGAGAAGGGGUGCUUACGAAGGUAAGCCGCAGAGAAUAGGCCCAAGCGACUGUUUAGCAAAAACACAGCUCUAUGCUAAAUCGAAAGAUGACGUAUAUGGGGUGACACCUGCCCGGUGCUGGAAGGUUAAGAGGAGAUGUGAGAGCAUUGAAUUGAAGCCCCAGUAAACGGCGGCCGUAACUAUAACGGUCCUAAGGUAGCGAAAUUCCUUGUCAGGUAAGUUCUGACCCGCACGAAUGGUGUAACGAUUUGGGCACUGUCUCAACAACCCACCCGGCGAAAUUGUAGUACCGGUGAAGAUGCCGGUUACCCGCGACUAGACGGAAAGACCCCAUGGAGCUUCACUGCAGCUUAAUAUUGGAUUUCGGUAUUUCAUGUACAGGAUAGGUGGGAGACUGGGAAAUACAGGCGUCAGCUUGUAUGGAGUCAUUGUUGGGAUACCACUCUUGAGGUGCUGGAAUUCUAACCUGUGGCCUUGAAUCAGGUCAGGGGACAUUGUUAGGCGGGCAGUUUGACUGGGGCGGUCGCCUCCUAAAAGGUAACGGAGGCGCUCAAAGGUUCGCUCAGCAUGGACGGAAACCAUGCCAGAGAGUGCAAACGCAUAAGCGAGCCUAACUGCGAGACUGACGGGUCGAGCAGUAACGAA
rnacentral:rRNA from 1 species